CCGGAAUUAUUGGGCGUAAAGCGCUCGCAGGCGGUCUUUUAAGUCUGAUGUGAAAUCUUACGGCUCAACCGUAAGCGGUCAUUGGAAACUGGAGGACUUGAGUACAGAAGAGGAGAGUGGAAUUCCACGCGUAGCGGUGAAAUGCGCAGAUAUCAGGAGGAACACCGAUGGCGAAGGCAGGUCUCUGGGCUGUUACUGACGCUGAGAAGCGAAAGCAUGGGUAGCGAACAGGAUUAGAUACCCUGGUAGUCCAUGCCGUAAACGUUGGGCACUAGGUGUGGGGGACAUUCCACGUUUUCCGCGCCGUAGCUAACGCAUUAAGUGCCCCGCCUGGGGAGUACGGCCGCAAGGCUAAAACUCAAAGGAAUUGACGGGGGCCCGCACAAGCGGCGGAGCAUGCGGAUUAAUUCGAUGCAACGCGAAGAACCUUACCAAGGCUUGACAUACACCGGAUCGCUGCAGAGAUGCAGUUUCCCUUCGGGGCUGGUGUACAGGUGGUGCAUGGUUGUCGUCAGCUCGUGUCGUGAGAUGUUGGGUUAAGUCCCGCAACGAGCGCAACCCUUAUCCUAUGUUGCCAGCACGUGAUGGUGGGGACUCAUGGGAGACUGCCGGGGUCAACUCGGAGGAAGGUGGGGAUGACGUCAAAUCAUCAUGCCCCUUAUGUCUUGGGCUUCACGCAUGCUACAAUGGCCAGUACAGUGGGUUGCGAUGCCGUGAGGUGGAGCUAAUCCCUAAAAGCUGGUCUCAGUUCGGAUCGAAGUCUGCAACUCGACUUCGUGAAGUUGGAGUCGCUAGUAAUCGCAGAUCAGCAAUGCUG
rnacentral:rRNA from 1 species